AUUGAACGCUGGCGGCAGGCCUAACACAUGCAAGUCGAACGAGUGGCGAACGGGUGAGUAAUGUCUGGGAAACUGCCUGAUGGAGGGGGAUAACUCCUGGAAACGGUAGCUAAUACCGCAUACCCUCAGAUGUGCCCCAAUAGGAUUAGCUUGUUGGUGGGGUAACGGCUGACUAAGGCGACGAUCCCUAGCUGGUCUGAGAGGAUGACCAGGCACACGGGAACUGAAACACGGGCCAGACUCCUACGGGAGGCAGCAGUGGGGAAGAUUGCACAAGGGGAGCAAGCCUGAUGCAGCCAUGCCGCGUGUAUGAAGAAGGCCUUCGGGUUGUAAAGUACUUUCAGCGGGGAGGCGUUACCCGCAGAAGAAGCACCGGCUAACUCCGUGCCAGCAGCCGCGGUAAUUC
rnacentral:rRNA from 1 species